AUUAAAAAACUCAUAUAUACCCUGAAUAUGGCGGGGAGUAUCUACCGGGAACCUUAAAUUCUCGACUAUGAGUGAUAUUAAUAU
rnacentral:ncRNA from 1 species